rnacentral:rRNA from 1 species
AUUGAACGCUGGCGGCAGGCCUAACACAUGCAAGUCGAACGGUAACAGGAAGAAGCUUGCUUCUUUGCUGACGAGUGGCGGACGGGUGAGUAAUGUCUGGGAAACUGCCUGAUGGAGGGGGAUAACUACUGGAAACGGUAGCUAAUACCGCAUAACGUCGCAAGACCAAAGAGGGGGACCUUCGGGCCUCUUGCCAUCGGAUGUGCCCAGAUGGGAUUAGCUAGUAGGUGGGGUAACGGCUCACCUAGGCGACGAUCCCUAGCUGGUCUGAGAGGAUGACCAGCCACACUGGAGCUGAGACACGGUCCAGACUCCUACGGGAGGCAGCAGUGGGGAAUAUUGCACAAUGGGCGCAAGCCUGAUGCAGCCAUGCCGCGUGUAUGAAGAAGGCCUUCGGGUUGUAAAGUACUUUCAGCGGGGAGGAAGGGAGUAAAGUUAAUACCUUUGCUCAUGGACGUUACCCGCAGAAGAAGCACCGGCUAACUCCGU